CCUACGGGUGGCAGCAGUGAGGAAUAUUGGUCAAUGGCCGUAAGCCUGAACCAGCCAAGCCGCGUGAAGGAAGAAGGAUCUAUGGUUUGUAACCUUCUUUUUUAGGGGAAUAAAGGUAUCCAUGUGUGGAUAUUUGCAUGUACCCUAAGAAUAAGCAUCCGCUAACUCCGUGCCAGCAGUCGCGGUAAUACGGAGGAUGCGAGCGUUAUCCGGAUUUAUUGGGUGUAAAGGGAGCGUAGGUUGUUGUUUAAGUCAGCGGUGAAAGUUUGUGGCUCAACCAUGAGAUUGCCGUUGAAACUGGAAGUCUUGAGUGUGUUUGAGGUAGGCGGAAUGCGUGGUGUAGCGGUGAAAUGCAUAGAUAUCACGCAGAACUCCGGUUGCGAAGGCAGAUUACUAGGCCAUAACUGACGCUGAGGCGCGAAAGCGUGGGGAUCAAACAGGAUUAGAUACCCUGGUAGUC
rnacentral:rRNA from 1 species